rnacentral:rRNA from 1 species
AUACGUAGGUCCCGAACGUUGCGCGAAAUUACUGGGCGUAAAGGGUCCGUAGGCGGUCUGGUAAGUGGAAGGUGAAAGCCUGGGGCUCAACUCCAGAAUUGCCUUCCAAACUGCCGGACUUGAGGCAGGGAGAGGUCGGCGGAAUUCCCGGUGUAGCGGUGAAAUGCGGAGAUAUCGGGAGGAACACCAGUGGCGAAGGCGGCCGACUGGAACUGUCCUGACGCUGAGGGACGAAAGCCAGGGGAGCGAACCGGAUUAGAAACCCCGGUAGUCC